GAUGAACGCUAGCGGCAGGCCUAAUACAUGCAAGUCGAACGGUAGAUCGGGUAGCAAUACUUGAUUGAGAGUGACGUAAGGGUGCGUAACACGUAUGCAAUCUACCCUCAACAGGAGUAUAGCUCGGGGAAACUCGGAUUAACACUCCAUAACAUUACGAUGUGGCAUCACAUUGUGAUUAAAACUCCGGUGGUUGAGGAUGAGCAUGCGUCUGAUUAGUUAGUUGGAGGUGUAACGGACCCCCAAGACGAUGAUCAGUAGGGGAACUGAGAGGUUGACUCCCCCACACUGGCACUGAGAUACGGGCCAGACUCCUACGGGAGGCAGCAGUAAGGAAUAUUGGUCAAUGGGUGAGAGCCUGAACCAGCCAUGCCGCGUGCAGGAAGACGGCCUUCUGGGUUGUAAACUGCUUUUAUCUGGGAUAAAAGCCCAUGCGUGGGACAUUGAAGGUACCAGAUGAAUAAGCACCGGCUAACUACGUGCCAG
rnacentral:rRNA from 1 species